GAAUAUCAUGGAUGUGGUCUAUAAAACGACUUAUACGCCAUCAAGCAUAAUUUCCACUAGAUGUGUUUUAAGGCUAACACGCCGGUUAACAGGAAUAAACGACUCGAACCAUCCAUUCCAAUAGUAGAAAAUACCUAUAAAUAUACCAAAACCGUGAAAUCAUCAGAAAGUCCUGCCCAAGGACCGUCGCUUGCUAUUAGGCCUACCUUUCGGAGUAUAGUCUUCCGUGUUUUUGUUUUUAUAAAGUCAAAAAUAAAUCCACUUCCCAUUCGAGCAGACUGAUCAAGUUGAGUGUGUCAACGAAGACAGCAAUCCAACCUGUCACAUAUUAAAAUACUUGUAGUAGGGUGAGGAAAGAUGAAAACCUUUUGAUCCUGUUUUUUCGUUCCAUUUGGUAGUAAACAAAAAACAUUAAAGAAUUAUAAAACCGCAUCCAUACGACUCCUAAAUACCGUGUUGGUAAUUGCUUAAAACAUUUUUAGGAUAUGAUGUCCCAUCUUACCCCACAGUACUAUCAUAGUGUAUUGAGUUAAAGACAUAAAAUUUCUGGAAACACUUUGAAUUAUAAGCAGUCCAUAAUGAACAAAUCUCUGAUGACUGAAGUAAUACCAGAACCUGCGGCUCAAGAACGAACAAGAACAAGCAAAUAGUAAACUACGCCGCGCCUUUUAGACAGAAACAGUAACAGAUAGCAGACGCCAGUCCUCUAGUCUAAAGUAACUGUGCAACAUGGUUGUCUAUUGCAGAAGAUUGCACAAAAUUGUAAUCAUAUAAAUAGAAAAUCAUCUUGCCAGCAAAGAACAUUGGGCAUUUUUGCUACGCAGUGUACACAGAAAACAGUUGAAAUAUCAUUUGCUAAUUUUAAAUACAACGGAAUAUAGUGCUAAAAGAGAAAAAUGCAAUACCAGCUUUUGCGGGAAGGCGUGCACGGCAUUAGGUUCAAUUUUCGGCGAAAAGUGCAUUUGAUAUGUACAGUCGCAAUGAGCACAUAUAGUUAAUACAUUUGUAAUCGGCACAGUGUAAUGUUAAUGGGACUGGAACCCUGGAUGAUCAUUAGAAUUGAGAGUACUAGUGAGAAAAA